rnacentral:rRNA from 2 species
UUAAAUUGAAGAGUUUGAUCAUGGCUCAGAUUGAACGCUGGCGGCAGGCCUAACACAUGCAAGUCGGACGGUAGCACAGAGAGCUUGCUCUCGGGUGACGAGUGGCGGACGGGUGAGUAAUGUCUGGGGAUCUGCCCGAUAGAGGGGGAUAACCACUGGAAACGGUGGCUAAUACCGCAUAACG